UACAGAGGGGGCAAGCGUUGUUCGGAAUUACUGGGCGUAAAGGGCGCGUAGGCGGCCGUUCAAGUCGGGGGUGAAAGCCUGUGGCUCAACCACAGAAUUGCCUUCGAUACUGUACGGCUCGAGACCGGAAGAGGUGAGUGGAACUGCGAGUGUAGAGGUGAAAUUCGUAGAUAUUCGCAAGAACACCAGUGGCGAAGGCGGCUCACUGGUCCGGUUCUGACGCUGAGGCGCGAAAGCGUGGGGAGCAAACAGG
rnacentral:rRNA from 1 species